CAGCUGUGAUUUCUGCUCCCAGGAAGUUGUGAUUGUAUUUACCUCUCUGGUAUUUCAGCCAGUGAUUUGCCCUUUGGCCUGAAUUCUCCCAUGGAUCUAAGAAGAGAGGUUUGCUUUUUAGUUUGUUCGAUGCUUUUUCUUCUGAGAAACCUAAAGAUUUUUCUCCUGGCUCUUCACUGCGAGAAGCUGGUGGAUUUCCUAGAUGUAAACCUCACAAAAGUGGAUGGCUGCUAAGACCGUGGCCCGGAGGACUUUCUUAUUCAUGCUACUCUACAGUCAGCUUCCCACAACUCAUGAAAGCUACCAUUCAAGAAUUCUUACAAGUUUAUAGCGACAAAGUCAUUUUUUCCAGAAUAGCACAGAAGCAGAGCCUGAGUCUAAGCAGACCUAGAUUCUGAACAGAUAUGAAGCUGCUUGAAGAAUCCUGGAGGUGUGCACACUUACACGCUGCACCUCCAAGUUGAAUCAUCGGGUGCCUUGGGUAGUCACUCUCAAAGGCAGUUCCAAUGUCCAUGGUGGACAUUUCUUCCAAGCCUAGAAGUAAAGAGGUGGCUCAGAAAAAGUGGAGCUUCAACCAAGAGAAAUAAAGAAGUCAGUGGAAGGAAUUUGAGGAAGGGCACAGAUCUGUGUCCAAUGCAAGUAUAGUUCUAAGAAACUUUGAAUUGUAGAAGGAAAUAGUUUUACUUGAAUAAAUGUCAAUCAGUAUGAAACUUAGACUGGCAUUAUACAGAUAGAUGUUGUGGAAGAAAUGCAGGUAAAUGGAAAUCGUGAGCAAAGCAUAGAAGCACCAAAAUAACACAUUAAAUGGGAAUGGGAAAACUUUGGCUUGUCUGAACUAAAGACUGUGUUAUUCUUGGUUAUAUCUUCAUUUGAUUGGACAUUAUCUAAGAAAAAGGAAAACUGUGUUCUGGAAUCGCUGAAGUUCAUAUAAGGGUAGCACAAAAUCAGUGCCUUAUCCAUAUCUGCCUGUGGGCUUACCUAAAUGUCUUAUUAAGAGAGAAUGGUCUCUGGGGCUCCUGGGUGGCUUGGUGGGCUAAGCGUCUGACUCUUGAUUUCAGCUCAGGUCAUGAUCUUACUGUCUUGAGAUCAAGCCCUGAGUUGGGCUCUAUGCUUGGUGUGGAGCCUGCUUAAUAUUUUCUCUCUCUCUCUAUCUCUGGCCCUCCCCUCCCUGUGCUCUCUAAAAACAAAAGAGAGAAUGGGUUUUGAUAAUGAAAGAAGAUUCAGUGAUGUACUAAGCACUGGGCCAAAUACUAGGGAUUCAGGUAUAAUAGCUCAUAAUUAUUAUCAUUAGUUUUGAAGCUUUGUAUGAUAUAGGAUAGCUCACACAGACUUAUGCCUAUCUGUUUUAUAUACCCAGUCUUACACAGUGUCUACUAAUGGUUUAAAGAUGGCUUGGUCUGAAUUCAGUUCCCAACUCUUCUACUUUGAGUGUAUUACUUUGAACUAUAGUGGCUUUUUUUAAAACAGUAAAAUAGUGAUUGGAAUACCUCAAGCACAGUGUAACAGAAAAUUCACAAAGAAUCUGUAGUAGUGUUCUAUCAGUGUUUAAUGGAUGAUAUUAU